CUAUGUGUUUGGCCUAUUCUAGGAUCAGAAAACAUGAUGUUGAAUGAAAUGCGCACCAUUCCAGCCUCACAAAACUUGGAUCCUAACAGUCUCAGUUCACAGAAUCUCUGCAGAUUCAAUCUGGCAUCAAAUAACAGCCCAUUCUUCUCUGCCACCAUGGCCACUGGGAGCUGAUGAGGACAAAGAUACAGCACCUUAGCUACAGAGAAGAAGAAAGAAGUGCUUUCAGGGUCGCUCUGAAGACUGAAGGGUAGAAGUCUAGAAGAAAGGCAGUUGGCCCACUGUGCUCCACUGUUUCUAAGCUCCUGAUUCAGCAAACCUCUCGGGACACAGACCUAAUGCAUCCUCCUACUGAAACGUCAAGUCUGCAUUUAUUAUGCUUAAUCUAGAUGGGGUUGGCUUCUUGCAAUCAAAAAUCUGUUCUACAAUGCACAUCUCUGCCAGCAGACUGGACCUGUCCCAUGGCCCCUCUGCCCUAUCAUUCCAAAUUUAUGCAAAGAAAGUUACUGAAUGCUCCUACGUUUCUGAUGUAAGCUCAGCCUGCAGAAAACCACCUCUCCGUCCUACAGGCAUUUCCAGGCUAGAUCUAGCACUGUCUGUUCGAGCUCUUGCUCCCAAACAUUGCACUACCCACCUACGUUCCAGAACCAGUCCACAAGACCUCCAACUGGGCUCUAAGCUAACUGUCCCAUUUUGAAAGGUGUGAAAGGAAGACUGAAGCUUCCAGACUCCCUGGCUCCCAGAAAAUUGGCCGUAUGCCUGAGGAAGACAAAGAGCAAAGUGAUCUGGAAAGCUCCCGCAGUUGAGAAGAAAUGUGUAUUUCAUCUGGAUAAUGAAUGCUGUUAGCCUUAGAGAAUGGAAUAAACCUAAGGACUCGGGAGUGUAAUUCUUUCUUGAAAGGCCGAUACAUAUCAAUAAUUUAGGGAGGAAGACCUUUCAAAGCUGUGAUCCAGAUGAUUUUGUAACUGAGAGAUUAACACAUGAAUGGCUACCCUGAUUCCGUGGCUGUCUCAGAGUCAUUAUUGAUAAACAAUUUAUUUUUCUUAAAAUGAAAUCUGUUCCGCAGAUGUCUACUUCUCAGCUAGGAUAUAACAACCUUGAAGAAAAUCACACUGCUUUCUGUGCAAUAUUCAACCAGAUGAUAUUAACAUAGCAUGGGCCUAAGCAAGUAUUUGAACUGUCUUCCAGGCUCCCUCUUUCAUACGUGCACCUCAAUCAGUGACUGGAUGAAGAAAAGUCUUGGGUGAAAUGGAGCUCCCAAGAAAUGAUUUGGGGCAAGUAAAUGAAAGCACAUUUUCCUUA